UUAAACGUCCAUACCACGUUGAAUACACCGGUUCUCGUCUGAUCACCGAAGUUAAGCAACGCAAGGCGCGGUCAGGACUUGGAUGGGUAACCGCCUGGGAAUGCCUCGUGGCGUUGGUG
rnacentral:rRNA from 1 species